GUCAGAAUGGCCAAAGCAAAGGCCUUACCAGAUGUGAAGAUGACAUAGAUAGGCCUGGGUCACAGGUAAGACCAAAUCACAGAGGGCCUUGAGUGCUGUGCUAAAGAGUUGGAACUUUAUCUCACAGGCAAUAGGAGCUUUAAGCAGAUGAACACCUCAAUCAGAUUGCUCCCUGAGUGGUAUAUGAAUGAACCGAAAGGGGUAGAAGCUCAAGGCAGGAGUCCACUUAGGAGGCUACAGUGGAAAUGUGAGCAAGCAGUGAUUCAGCAGCUCAGGGAACCUUUCCAGGACCCACUUUCCACCUACCCCCUUGAGGCUCCUGGGCCCUCCUGCCAAGCUGGCCUUCACUCAGCUGCCGAUUUCAGUCCAGCCACCUGGAAUGGAACAUGGCCAGGUUUCCUGACUUUGAUGCCAGCAUCAGCAUCUCUUCACAUCCCUGCAGAAGAAUCCACCUGGACCUGGGGACCAAAGUAGAGGCAAGGGAGGUGGAAGAGAAGGGUUCACUCUUCUCCCCCAGUGAUGGUCUCCAUUGCCAUAGUGACACGUUCAAGGGCAAGUUUGUGACCUAAGAUGAUCCCACUCAGAGCCAAGUUUAGGAUGGCUGUUUAAUAACUGUGGAAAAGCAAGUAUGUAGUCUUGUUGCUGCUGCAAGCCAUUUUGCUGCCAUAAAUGGCCAACCAGGCCAAAGACAAAAACUAACAUUUGGAGGAAGGCAGAACCAAGAGAAUCACAGAGAAAUGGAGCCAGCGUCCUGAACAUACCAUGCCCAGAGGUCAUCUUCUCUGUGUACUUUUCAGUUACA